ACGCUCGACACCUACGGGAGGAAGCAGUAGGGAAUCUUCCACAAUGGACGCAAGUCUGAUGGAGCAACGCCGCGUGAGUGAAGAAGGUCUUCGGAUCGUAAAACUCUGUUGUUAGAGAAGAACACGAGUGAGAGUAACUGUUCAUUCGAUGACGGUAUCUAACCAGCAAGUCACGGCUAACUACGUGCCAGUAGCCGCGGUAAUCUGAGCGGGCUGGCAAGGC
rnacentral:rRNA from 1 species